rnacentral:rRNA from 1 species
AACGUAGGAGACGAGCGUUAUCCGGAUUUACUGGGCGUAAAGCGUGUGCAGGCGGUUCGGCAAGUUGGAUGUGAAAUCUCCCGGCUCAACUGGGAGGGGUCGUUCAAAACUACCGAACUUGAGGUCAUCAGAGGAAGGUGGAAGUUCCGGGUGUAGUGGUGAAAUGCGUAGAUAUCUGGAGGAACACCGGUGGCGAAGGCGGCAUUCUGGACUGCAACUGACACUGAAGAACGAAAGCCAGGGGAGCAAAACGGGA